GCCUGGGUGGCUCAGUUGUUUGAGCAUCUGAUUGCAGCUCAGGUCUUAAUCUCGGGGUUUGUGAGUUUGAGCCCCACAUCGGGCU
rnacentral:tRNA from 1 species